rnacentral:rRNA from 1 species
AGUAUCAUUAACUGAAUACAUAGGUUAAUGAAGCGAACCGGGGGAACUGAAACAUCUAAGUACCCCGAGGAAGAGAAAUCAACCGAGAUUCCGGUAGUAGCGGCGAGCGAAACCGGAUUAGCCCUUAAGCUAGUUCUGCGUUAGGUGAAUGUGCUGGAAAGCACAGCGAUACAGGGUGAUAGCCCCGUAACCAAAAAUGCAUUAAUAGUGAAAUCGAGUAGGACGGGACACGUGAUAUCCUGUUUGAACAUGGGGGGACCAUCCUCCAAGGCUAAAUACUCCUGACUGACCGAUAGUGAACCAGUACCGUGAGGGAAAGGCGAAAAGAACCCCUGUGAGGGGAGUGAAAUAGAACCUGAAACCGUGUACGUACAAGCAGUAGGAGCCCACUUGUUGGGUGACUGCGUACCUUUUGUAUAAUGGGUCAGCGACUUAAUUUUAGUAGCAAGGUUAACCGUUUAGGGGAGCCGUAGGGAAACCGAGUCUUAACUGGGCGUCAUAGUUGCUAGGAUUAGACCCGAAACCGAGUGAUCUAGCCAUGGGCAGGUUGAAGGUGAGGUAACACUUACUGGAGGACCGAACCGACUAAUGUUGAAAAAUUAGCGGAUGACUUGUGGCUAGGGGUGAAAGGCCAAUCAAACUCGGAGAUAGCUGGUUCUCCCCGAAAGCUAUUUAGGUAGCGCCUCGGACGAAUACUACUGGGGGUAGAGCACUGUUAAG